rnacentral:rRNA from 1 species
UUGACCUCAAAUCAGGUAGGACUACCCGCUGAACUUAAGCAUAUCAAUAAGCGGAGGAAAAGAAACUAACAAGGAUUCCCCUAGUAACUGCGAGUGAAGCGGGAAAAGCUCAAAUUUGAAAUCUGAUGGUCUUUGACCGUCCGAGUUGUAAUCUAGAGAAGUGUUACCUGUG